ensembl:lncRNA
GUGCGGGUUUCUGUGUGUGUGUGUGUGUGUGUGUGCGUGCGUGCGUGCGUGCGUGCGUGCGUGCGUGUGCGUGACCCAUACUGAUAGUGUGUGUUUCUGUGCACGUGUGUUUGUCUGUUUCAAGGAGGUUGUGGGUUUCUGUGUGUGUGUGUGUGUGUGUGUGUGUAUGCGUUGGUGGUGGUGUGUGUGUGUGUGUGUGUGUGUUAGUGCUGGUGUUUGUGUAAGUAGUUGUGCGUGUGUGUGUGUGUGUGUGAUGGUGUGUUAGUGAUGGUGUGUGUGUGUGUUUUGUGUGUGUGUUUUUGCAAUGCACAGGUGCAAAAGGAUGGCUCUGUUGUUGAGACGAAGUGUGUGUUCAUAUGUAAAUACCUGUGUUGUUUAUGAAACUAAGGUUGGUGUGUGUGAGCAUGUCUUCUCACUAUACAUCAGAUAUAGCGGACAGUUGCACUUUAUUCCUGAUCAACGUGUGUGCGUGUGUGUGUGUGUGUGUGUGUGUGUGUGUGUGUGUGUGUGUGUGUGUGUGUGUGUGUGUGUGUGUGUGUGUGUGUGUGUGUGUGUGUGUGUGUGACUCUUUCAGCGUGAAAAGGAUGACUCUGUUGUUGAGACUAAGCGUGGGUACAUAUGUUAAUAUUUGUGUUGCUGGUCCUAUCAAGGUUGGUGUGUGUGAGCAUUUGUAUAUAUUUUGAAACACUACUAAUAGUACUUAAUAUUUUUAAUAGCUCACAAAUGCACACACAUACACAUAACACACACACACACACACACACACACACACACACACACACACACACACACACACACACAAACACACUUUCUGUACUGCUGAAGUCAGGACUCUAACUUCCUGUUCUCACCCAUGCAAUGGAGCACUGCGAAUGGCAACUACAGAGCACCAUGUGUGUGUGCGUGUGUGUGUGUGUGUGUGUGUGUGUGUGUGUGUGUGUGUGUGUGAGUGUGAGUGUGAGUGUGUGUGUGUGUGUGUGUGUGUGUGUGUGUGUGUGUGUGUGUUGCCAGGGUGGGGUCAUAUCGAGGUUUGGGUUGUGUCAUAAUCUCAUGCUGACUGAUUUCUAACAACCAUAGUUUCAAUCCUAAUGCUAAUUGCCUAGCCGCUACCAACCGGAAUAACAUUGUGCAUACCGAAAGUGAGCUGGUAUGCACGGAUUGUGCAUACCAGUUUGGAUUGUUUGUCAAUAAAACAAACUCUUCAUUGCAUAAUAAAUGCACAAGAACCCUAUCAAACCACGUACUCAGCCGACUAGUCAAAAAUAUUCCUAGUUUGCAACACAAUAUUGAGGUAUUUGGGACUAUAAAAAUAACCUCCCAGCUCUUGUCUGUAUAGACUCAAAUAAACUUUUAUAAGGACACAUAUGCAAGUAUGUACUCAUUCGAUGCGGGUAAUAUCAUGUUCACAGUGAGCCUUUCACAGUAUGACAGAACAGGUUCAGUCAGCAGUGAUGGAGGAUACCGCAGCAGCACUAGUAAGCGGAGAGGUGAGGGGGAAGGUCGCUGGACGCUGGGCUAUUGGACCUGAUUUACAUAACGCCGAACAACAACACGGUUCUUUGCGGAAACGACCUGGCCAACAGAUACUCAUGCAAAUAUCGGGAGUUACGGUCUGAACUCCCAGAGGAGGUAUGGGUCGUGCGCAUCGCUCUGCCCGCUCUAGAGUUGGAAAAACACAACUCAGGUCAUCGUCCACGCAAAUUAGCUGCACAUCAUGAGGAAACCGAAUCCAUCGUUCAAAGAUCCUAAGCAAUUCAGCAAGCAAACUUUUUUUUCCACGACAGCUGUUGCUCAAUAUCUAUUACUAAUAUCGAUUUUUUUAAUAUCUAUUUUUGUAUGUUGUCGGUAUGAACUCUUAGAAUAGGGAACCCCUUUAACCGUUAACGAUAUCUGGUCAUCAGACUGCAGGCUUUUCUCCAAACACAACAAGGUCUGUCUUUGAACAUCCUGUGUGUGUGUGUGUUUGUGUCUAUGUGUGUGAUUGUUUGUAUGUUUUGUUUGUGGUUUGUGUGUAAUCGUUUUUGCCUGUGUGAUUGUUUGUCUGCUUAGCAUGUCUCUGUGUGUGUGUGUGCGUGCGUGCGUGCGUGCGUGCGUGCGUGCGUGCGUGCGCACGCGCGUGUGUGCGUGAGUGUGUGUGUGCACGUGUAUGCGUCCAAACAGCAAAAUGGCCGCUAAUAAUUGCCUUCCAGAAGAAGCCAUCUGCCACUGCUUCCUGUUUAUCAUUUAAUCCAAACAAACAGCUGGGGUGUAUGAAGCACAGAGCCAGGCCCUACACGGCCCUGUGUUCGGUGGGGUUGUAGGAGCAAGCAAGGACACAGGGAAGUCUCUAAAUGUAUUAUUAAUAAUAUUAACAAUAAUAACUCACUAUUAGUCGUUAAUCAUCAGCAGAAAGUUACUGCUUUUUAAGGGCCACUGUCCACAUAGCAUGUUUUUCGGAGUGGCUCUGACUUUCCGCAGUGAGUUUCCAAUGAGGACCUAGCGAACGCAGCUUUAAAGAAACAACUUUUCUGAAAAUCUCGGAGGUUUCCAGAAAAGUGCCGGUGUCACCGUUGCUUUACGCCAGUCACCCAACAAACGUUUAAUUUCAUAAAAGGAUUUUCCCACGUCGAAGUGGACAGAAAGCUGCAAAGUGACCCGGACGUGGACCGUAACCCCUGACGUUUGAGGGGACAAUGGCGUUAUGGGAUCAUAACAAAGUCAUUAGCGCCCCAGCACUAUUUACUUGGAAAGUAUUCGUGGCCGCAUUCCGGUUCAGCCUCGGAGAUGCGUGCGCACCACGCUGCCAGGUUUUACAAGGCCAUCGAAAACAGAGUUGGUCACGGUUGAGUUUUACAUUACUCAGUUAGUUUCCAAAUAUCCUUUCUCAAUAAAGGGAGGAAGUAAUCCUUUCACUAGGAUUACUCCCCGCUGAAAAGAUAACUACUGUUUGAGGCGUUGAAAGGCCCCCCAUGUCAUGCUCUUUCAUGAUGAGUUGCCGAGGACUAGACGUUGCGCACAUGGCCAAUGUGCGCAAACAAACACAAUGUUCAGCAUCAUGCAUUCAUCUUCUGCAGCCGUGGUAGACCAGACAAAAUAAACCAUUGUAAGCAAAAAAAUGUAGUCUGAAUUAUGGCAGAAUUAUCAAAUAAGACACCGUGGUCAAGCUGACAGUGGCAUAAUUCUUUACAGUAGGCUUAUAAUAAAGUAGCCUGCAGACAAUGCGAGUCGUUACGCAAGAAACAGAUAAUGGCAAGUUUAUUCUAUAGAAGUGGCAUGUAUUAUAGAUAUACAGAAAAAAAUGUAGCCUAGGCUAUGCUUGUUAAAAGCCCGGAGGCAAAAGUGCAUAUGCAUUGCAAAUAUAUGCGCAAAUCGAAAUGAUGUAGAGAUCUUACAUCUAUAACCAUGCAAAGUGUGUGUGUGUGUGUGUGUGUGUGUGUGUGUGUGUGUGUGUGUGUGUGUGUGUGUGUGUGUGUGUGUGUGUGUGUGUGUGUGUGUGUGUGUGUGUGUGUGUGUGUGUGUGUGGAUUGUUAACAGUGUAGAGGACUUAAACACUACACUAGAUUAAAGGACAAUAAACUCCCUACAAAAACAUCUGGUUAAACACGACUACCCACAACAACAAUAAAGAAAAACGUCAUCAUGACCUACCUUCAAAGUUUAAAGACUGUCCGUGCCAUUCUCUGCAGCGGUACUUGUAUGAGACCUUUGCAUCCAAACUCGAAACGCCUUUCUGGUAACAACAAAUACAAGAGGCGAGAGAGACACACUGUUACGCGCAGGUAACGCAGUAAAAAAAACCUUCUACCGUUAAUUUCGGCCAAAAACAGUGUGUACCCGAGGUAUUUCCUCCUCAAUUCACUGUUCUAUGUUUCGUGUGCAACGCUUCACAGC